AUUGAACGCUGGCGGCAGGCCUAACACAUGCAAGUCGAGCGCGAAAGUUCUUCGGAAUGAGUAAAGCGGCGGACGGGUGAGUAAUACAUGGGAAUCUGCCUGGUAGUGGGGGACAACGUUUCGAAAGGAACGCUAAUACCGCAUACGCCCUACGGGGGAAAGGGGGGAUCUACGGACCUCUCGCUAUCAGAUGAGCCCAU
rnacentral:rRNA from 1 species